rnacentral:piRNA from 1 species
UGCGUGUGUGUCAGGCUCUUCGUUCUGGA